GUUGUUCUGAUUUGCUUAUUGCACCACAUGUGUUUUUCUUUGAAACAAACUUGCUUUGGCGGUGGGCCCAGCCUGCCGCCAGAGGUCUAAACUUACAACCAAUUUUUUAUCAACUUGUCACACCAGAUUAUUACUUAAUAGUCAAAACUUUCAACAACGGAUCUCUUGGUUCUCGCAUCGAUGAAGAACGCAGCGAAAUGCGAUACGUAAUAUGAAUUGCAGAUAUUCGUGAAUCAUCGAAUCUUUGAACGCACAUUGCGCCCUCUGGUAUUCCGGAGGGCAUGCCUGUUUGAGCGUCGUUUCUCCCUCAAACCGCUGGGUUUGGUGUUGAGCAAUACGACUUGGGUUUGCUUGAAAGACGGUAGUGGUAAGGCGGGAUCGCUUUGACAAUGGCUUAGGUCUAACCAAAAACAUUGCUUGCGGCGGUAACGUCUACCACGUAUAUCUUCAAACUUUGACCUCAAAUCAGGUAGGACUACCCGCUGAACUUAAGCAUAUCAAUAAGCGGAGGAA
rnacentral:rRNA from 1 species